UACAGAGGUGGCAAGCGUUGUUCGGAAUUACUGGGCGUAAAGGGCGCGUAGGCGGCCUUCUAAGUCAGACGUGAAAUCCCCAGGCUUAACCUGGGAACUGCAUCCGAUACUGGAUGGCUUGAAUUCGGGAGAGGGAUGCAGAAUUCCAGGUGUAGCGGUGAAAUGCGUAGAUAUCUGGAGGAACACCGGUGGCGAAGGCGACGUCCUGGACCGGCAUUGACGCUGAGGCGCGAAAGCCAGGGGAGCAAACGGG
rnacentral:rRNA from 1 species